CGCUGGGGGAGCUGUGACAGGCUGCGGUGGGUGGCGUGUUAGGGCUUCCUGGGUCUUAUUUUAGGGUCCUGCAGGUAUCUUACAUCGGCUCCUCGAUGUCAGCAGGAACCAGUGAAGAUUUUCCGACGAGAAUGCAGGAAUGUUCUUGGCCAGAAGCAAAGAAAAGCAUAUUUCUGAAUGUUUAUUAAUUCUCCUAGUACAGUUAUCUUUUAAAGCAAAGCAGUAUAUGAUUGGGAACGUUGGUUUUUAGCGGCAUAGAAAACAUGUUAUGCUAUUAAAUGAAACCUUCAAACUGGCUCGACUUCUUGGAAAAUACUCCCUCUCCUUUGUUUUUAUGCAAAACGCUAUUUUCAUAUGAAAUUUGUUAUAAGGUCCCAAAAAGCCAUUUUGGUGUUGAUUAUAUUUAUAUAUACAUAUAUAUUUUUUACAUUUUUGUUUAUUGAGGUAUAAUUGCAGGUUUAAUUCGUCUAAACAUGAGAGCCCUCCCUGUUUCCCUCCUCAUGCAACAUUAUCAUUUUUAAAUUGGAGGUUUCUGAGAUGAUGACUUCCGUUAUUACAUGUAAUAGACCACAUCUCAUGUAGAAAUUGCAGGUCAAAGUUUUGGCUCUGGGAACAGCACCCCUUUAAAACUAUCACUAAUUUCUGCUUCCUGAUUUUGCAAAUAAAUAGCUUGCUUAAGAUUUUUCUUUUGUAAGUUCACCUCUGGACUAGCAGCAGAGGUGAGAAAAGGACAGAGACACUUGUUGAAAUGUAACUGUAACCUUUACUGGAAUUUAAAACACGUUCCAGUAAUUCACCAUUACUGGAAUUCCAGGGCCAUAAAGUCGUUGUCUUUUUUCUUCUACUUCAAUUUGCAAAAUGUGAUAAAUGUUGGUAAAUAUAGACUGGUAAUAGGUAUUAUGACAGGAGAAGCAUUAUGUAUGUAGAGCUAUUUUAAGUUAUUGCAGAACAUUUUCUAUUUAUAAAUGAUAUAAGCAGAAAGAAAUGGUUUCCAGAUAAACAAGACUUACGGACAUGUUUUGAAGUGUUACAACAUUGCAGACACACUUAGACAUCACAUUUUUUUAGAGCAAAAUAACAGAUUAAUUUUUCACAUACCUUUGGAGCCUUUCAUAGCCCGUUAGAACUGAGUUAGUAACUGGAAAUCUUGUUUAUUUUAAGGUGAUAUUUAAGGUCAUUUAAGAUGUAUAGUACGUCAACAUUUUGAGUAUCCAGAAAAAACAUUUAGGAAAUCUGUUUGGGGAUGUCUUUUCAGUAAGUGUAACUUUUACUUUCCAACAAAAGGAACCAAGAAAGUGAUCAUUUGCCUAAAAUGCAAUGAUCACCUCAAAUGAUUCAUUUAUACGAUGUGAGUUAAUGGCCUAAAUCUCAUAAUGGCCAAAGGGGGAUGGGGAGGUGCUGGAAUAUUGGCUGGGUCAUUUUGAUUCACCAGGAGGGAGGAAAUCCUGUAAAUAAUGCAAAUUUCUAAAAUCCUGGCUCAAAGUCCUUGGGUUUCCUGUUUAAUAGGAGCCCCAUGAGAAUGUAACCUAUUUCCUUCUUCCUGGAAUAGUCGAGAGCCCUGCUUCUCAAUAGUCAAAAUGCAGAUGACUAAUAAUCGCAUUUCUUUCAAACAUAAAUAGCUCUGGUUUGUAGCUCAGCACACACGGCAAGCUGAGCACGCCCUCCUGAUUGGACAGCAAAGAGCUUGUUUACAUUUUUUUACAUUUGUCUUUAAAACCUUCUGUAAAUAUCCCCCCUUCACACACACACACACACACACACACUCUCACACAGCUCUAUAUCCAGGUAGUGAACUUGUGGAAUGUAACAGCCAGCAGCUUUGGGUCCCAAUCAGAGACUGAAUCUUCUACUAAGCUUCAAGAAUAUUGAAGAUGUACACAAUGGAAAGGUCGUAUGCAAGUAGUUCAUUAACAUUAUAAGAUUUAGGAAGUUAGUCUCAGAGUAGAGAGGAGAACAGUGUUAGACUUCCGGAAUGAAAACAGAGAGCAUGGAGAAUGUACCAUAGCUAAACUCUGACUGUCUUUUAAAAUGAAAGGCACUCCCAUUUCACAUGUCCGUAAUGCUGAAUUUAUCUUAACGGUUAAAACAUAAUUUCCAGCUUACAUCUCCCUGUGUGGAAGAUUUCAGUUUGCUGGAGGGGGCUUGCUUAGCCCAGUGCAAGUGACUAUAUCCCUUUAAUAGGGUAAUUGCUAACUUGUCUCAACUUGUUUUCAGACGAUUGUUAUGGAGCACUCAGUUUCCACUAAUUGCAAAAUUGCUGCUUAAUUGAAGGACACUCAGCCAUCGAGUGCAGCCAUUCAGCCACUGGCGGACUCUGUGAUCUCAAGCUGUGAAUUGAAUUUUAAAAAGGAGUGGAGGAGAGAAUUCGGGGGAAUUCUAGGUUUAAAUGCUGGCUGUUGCUCAGUGAAGGAAGGAAUGAUUUGCGUUGUGAGAAAUUUUCUUUAUUAGGAUGAAUAACAUGCCCAGAUGGGCUUCAAAAGUGAAUGAGCAAACUUACUGGUUACACUCUGCAUCCAUUUACUUUGUUUAGUAUGGAGUAAUGUUAAGCAAUAAAUGAUGUUGGCAAAUGAAAUCCGUAUGUCGUUUGUAUGUGAGGUUUGACCCUAGGAAACACAGGAAGGCUUUGGUAUUUUUAAGCUCAGGCAUAUAUGUCCUCAGAGUCCCCUUAAACUUUCACUUAAGGCAUAGAAAGAAUUGUUUAAUCCUAAAUAAUUUUAUACUUAAAGAUGUCUCCAGCUUUCCAGAAUACUUAUAGUAUUAACGCCUUAGAAAAGUCAUGAACCCAAUUAUUAAAUAUAGGGAAUCAUUAUUGAUGACAGACACAAUUCAAUGGAGCUCACUAGUACAUUGACUUUGAAAAAUUUGGGGAGGUGAGGGAGUGGUAAAUGGGUAUGUUCUCUUAAGUGGAACGGGAAGGUAUUCUUGUUUCUGUAGAAAAACAUGAGUAUCUGGUCAGAUAAGAAGUGGGGAAGCUUUCCUAUAAAGGGAAGUUCUCAAAUUCCAGUGCAAACUCUGAGACACUAAUGCUUUUGGUGAAACAAAUCUGACCAAAUACUACUGGAUGCUAAGAAAUGGCCCAUUGCCCAGCUGUCUCAUUUAUACCUUGCCUAAAGUUUGAGGAUGGGUGCCAUUAGAUGAAGUGGGGGGCUGGGUGUAGGGCAGGAGAGUGCUUGGGGGAAGCAGAGUAAAUUUACAAGCUUCAGUGACAGCCAUAAUAAAGUAAAAGCUUAUUUCCAAAGAGCCCAGAGAGUAACAAAUGUUAUGCAGUUUCCCCCAAAGGUUCACUUGAAAGAACUUUUCAUUGGUUGUCAUGGCAGUAAUGUCCUGAUUUUGAAAGCUUGCAGAGCCUAGUAGCUCUUAAACGUGCUUCCAUCUUGGUUCUUUUGGUCUGACUCAAGCUUUAUGACGACCCUCUGUGUUUUUGACAAGGCUCUGCUCUUUGGGAGGCAGCAUGGCAGGCAAAGGAGGAUUCCUUAACUCAAAGACAAUGAGUAGGAAAUGUAAACUUAUAUGAUAAAAAUAAUCACUUUCAAAUUAAGGUAAAACUGGAAGGCAACCUGUCAUUUAAUUACAACUGGUAUGUAUGAAAUCAAAUUUAUAUCAUGGAAAUUCAAACAAAAUCAGUGGGCAGUUUCUAGUACUUUAAGCAUCUCAUCAAAAGUUGAAGUAAUAGUGCCACCUAGAGAACAGAUCACCAGCUUACCAGCCAAAUGGCUUAUUUGCCAUAUGAGCCAUUUUCCCAAAGCUACAGUUACUAGGAUUUUCUUGCCACCCUGUUCAGAUUGGGAGAGUGUGUGUGUGUUGAGGGGCAGGGAGGGUGGUUUAGAAUGCAUUUGGGAUUGUAGAUGAGAUUCUAAAACAGGCAGAUCCACAACUCAAUACAUACACUAAGACCUUUUAGCAUUUUGGUAUAGUCGCCAAAUAUAGAAGAGCCAGCCAGGAAUAAGGGCCUGCCUCCUGUUUAUUUAUUAUUUUCAAGGAUAUGUACUAAGCAUUGGGUACAAAGGUUCUGAUUUUAUUCACUUCCUGCAGGCAAUUCACUGCACUUUCUGAGAUAUAAUAGCACCAAAUAAAUUGAGUAGAGAGACCUUAAGAAUGUCUUUGAUCUGUGAUCUAAUUUUAACUUUAAUGAUUUGAGAAGACUUAAGAGUAAAAUAAAGGGUUAUAUAUGUAGCAAGACUUUAAACACCAAAAAAGUAAGGAAAAAAAGGACAAGGAAAAGGAAAUUAUAAGAAUUAACCUUAGAAUAGAUAAAGAUAUACAUCUGAGCCAGCACCACAAAGUAGUAAUGGAACCAGGAACCAGUAGUUACUAAUCAACUUAGAAUUCUGUGAUGACAAAAUCCGUAUUUAAUCCAUUUUGCAUGCUCCCACGAUAGCAUCUAAACCAGCGCUGGUAGCAGAGGAGGCACUCUAACGAAUAUUGUUGAAUGAACAAAUAGAUUAUUAAUAAUUGCUUCACAUUCUUAGUAGCAAUGUAGACAAUGAAGAAACUUUAUAAUUAUAGAAAAACAUUUCUCUAUUUUGCUGGCGGAGAGGAAGAAAUUGGAGGAAAUAAAUGUAAUAAUACUUUCUUUUUUCUAGUACCUAUUGUAAAUGUCCUUUAGUUGGCUUAGUUCUAAAAUUUCUUAUGCACAAUUUGGUUCACUCAUAAAAUUAUCAUGUUUGGAACAUACGAAAUGUUAAAGUUGAUUUAGACAGUAGCAACUGUAAACUGACUGGUGGAUUUUCAUUUAAAUGUUUUCAAAUUUUGGGAUACUGGUUACUGUGCUUCAGGGAAUGGAAAACAGUAUAUGUUAAGUUUGUGCCAAUUUCUGGUGAGCAGAUAAACAAAGAAAGUCAUUAUAUUGUCUGUACUUUGUGUCAUUCAUAGAAGCAAUCAUAUGCAGAAAACCUAUUUUUCAGGAAAAAAUACUAAAAAAAGGUUUUUAUAUAUGAUGUGUUAUACACACACACACACACACACGCACACACACGGAGCGGGGGGGACAGGGGAGAAGAAAGAAAGAAGGAAAUUCAUGGAGUAAAAUUUCUGCAAGCGGGAUCUCCCCUCAGUCCUGGUUUUGGAGCUGCUACCGUCAGCAUUUGCCUCAUUUUCCGAUGCUUGCUUUCUGCCUCUGUGUGCUUUUGAAAACUGAAACUAUGCCCAAAUUGAAACAAGUUUCCCUAUCUUUUCACAUGUUCAUUUAUUUCUUGAAUGAUGGGGAGUGUUAUUAAACACAGAUAAAUUUCUUUUACAUUGUGCAGAAUCAGAAGGUCGAGAAAUUUGCUUCCUGCUGUUGGGAGAGAUGCUUGGCGGGCGUCCCAGGCCACAUUCCUAGACCCGACUGUCGAAGAAACUCUCAUCACAUGAUGGUAGCCACCUGGAGUGCUGGGUUGAGAAGAAUUCUGAACUUGUCCAGGCUCCAUGAGAAAGAAUGUUCUCACUGAGGGUUCAUGCCCACCAUGGCUGGAGGGUUGGCAUGGCAGCCCGUGUGGUGUGUUUGUGACAUCCUUGUUUAGAGGAUCGUCUCCCCAGGUGUGAAGAACUGGCAUAUGGAGAAGGGGAACAGUUGGAGGUUAACCAGCAUGGAGAUGUCAUUGAAAUGCACGUUUAGACCAGAGGACGCACAGCCCACUCCAAGAACUCAUGAAUAUUCAUUCCUUAUGAUCUCUCAUGCUGCUUUGAAGUAUUCAUGUUGUCAGUCGCAAAGCAAACAAUUUCCUAUUUACAUCCCUGUGAGGACAUCACAUAUUUUAUGGUUUAUGUUGCUGUGUGUAUGUUUUCUCCUCAAAGCUUUCCUUUAAAAAAAGUAAACAUGUUAUACACAGGAGUGGUUCUUUUAUUCAUUAAUUCACCAAGCAUUAACUGAGUGUUCAGAGAGUGCCAGGCACUGGGCUAGGUGAGGUUUCUUUUCCUCUCUGGAUCCAUCCAUUUCAGGAGCUACUUGAUCAAGAACUCCUUUGAUUUUCCCGUAUAAGGUUUCCAUUACCUCUUCAUAUACUCGCUUCUAAAGAGGGCUGGUCUAAAAAAAUGUAUAUAUUGAACAAAUUCUCUGAGCUACUUCAGAACUCUGUGCCCAGACAGUACUUUAAGUUAUGGACUAUAACAUUUUGGAAGAACGUAUUUCUUUUUUAAGAGAUUGAUCUUUUUUGUCCCCCUGAUCUUCAGGUAUCAUUUUGUGUUCACAUUAAUACAACAAAAAUGCUUAUUAGACAUUGUCUUAAAUAUUUUGCUAUUUGAGGAUAUUUCAUGAGGAACUCUUGUAAUAAUGCCAGUAGAAGCCACAGUAUAAGCAGAACUUCUGGACCAAAGAUGCUGUUCAUUUCCACUGACUUUAUGAUGGAUUUUUGCCUUACAUAAAAGGACAUGUUUGGGCCUCUUAGUAUUCAGGAAUGUGUCUUUCAUUUGACAGUGUUUAUAAAUCCUGUGUGUUUUCCCCCUAAAGAAACUUAAAUUGUGAGAGUGCUUCCAUUUACUAGAAGCUGGUUUUAUGAUUAUGCUGAGUAAGGAAAAGAAGAUGGAAAAAUCAGUUUAGUGAAGACUAUCUUGCCCUUAAACAUGAGUCAAUAACAUGUUUCUAUUUAGUAAUGGUAUUUCUUUAAAGUUUACUGAAACUACUUUUUAGUCCAUUGGGUCUCCUUUCACUGUGAAGGCAGGAGGUGUUUUUGCUCAAAUAUGUGAUAUAAGUAAGAAUCUGUAUGCAGAGUUUAUGGAUCAUGUAAAUAUGUCAAUGUAACUAGAGCACGGUUUGGCAUCAUCAACUAAGAAAUGUUUAACCUCUUGAUAUACAACAAGAAAGCAAAUUUUCACAUAGUUCCUUUGUGAAUCAAAAAAAAAAUCACAGGAUCAGGAAGUGGUGAUGGGUCCCACUUUCCAGUUAAUACUAAAUCUGCAGCCAUGUUCCUAACCUUCUCUCUCACUCCUGAGCAGGGCAAUCAGAAUAAGCAGUAAGUAAAUAGUGCCAGACACCACUCCAUUCUUCAUUCUUUGAGACAAAUCGGCAGUAUAGACACAUGUCCACUAACCUUCAAAUUAGUGGUAUAAAUGUAAAUAAGUAAAUUGUAGGACUGGUUUUUUUUCCCCCUAAAAGAAUCUGAUAUGGAACCCCAAUGCGUAAAACAAAAGUAAACAGUGCUGCUCUAGUUGAAGUGCAGGUGGCGGAUCAGUGCCCAGGCCCCUCGAUGCCCUGCAGACCGCCGUGGGAAGACUGGGGCUCUAGAUCAAACGACAACAGGUAGAAAUCCCAAAGUCCUGAAGCUCCCUUCCUUCCUGGUGAAAAUGCCAGGCUUCCUGCCCAUUCCUGGGGCCAUCCUCCAGCACUGGGAGUUGUAUUCAUGCCCUGUUCACAGUAUUCACAAAUGGUAACCUGAUAAAGUAGAUUCUUCUAUGUAAAAUUUUUCCCAUUGCAUGUUUUUUAGAAAUAAUCAUAAAUGUAUAAUGGUUGAGAAGCAAGGCAGGAUGACCUUAUGUUAGACAUUUUAUUAAUGAUUAAAAUGUAUCGUCAUUAAUAAAAUUUAUUUGAAAAUGCUUUUCCUAAAAUCCCAGUAUAUUUUUCUGGUUUUCACAUCCCUGACAAAUGACUUUCUUAAAACUUGGAAGUGACGGUUAUUCCAGAGCCUCUGAUUGUUCUUCAGAGUCAGUCUCAUGUAAAAAUCCAGGGGAACGCUCACCAUCGCUGUUCCAAGCAGAAUCAGGUUAUGAAGACUCCCCUACUGCAGCACCCAGUAGGCGUUGCUACUGGAACCAAUUCAAUUGGUUUGUCAAAGCUAACAUUCCUACAUGAUUUUACUAAAAGUAAAAGUAAUGUAGACAAGAUUGUCCAUUUCAAUAAUAAUCUUGUCCAAAGGUGUACUGUUCCAAACAUUAAAAAAUGCAUCUGCAUGUCUCAUUCCAAUUGAUCCUACAAAUAACCCUUUGAAAAAGUUGGGCAGACAUUAUUCCUACAUCCUACAGAUGAGGAAACUGAAGCUCCAAGUAGCUAGAUAACUUGAUCCAAGAUACACAGCUCUAGAACCAGAACAAGGAUUACAGUCCAAUGACUUCUCCUAACCCAGUCCUCUUACCGCUACUCUGCUGUCUACAACCACGACCUGCAGGAUUCCAGUAAGAAACCAUAUUUCACGCUUGACGCAUUAAUGUGAGUGCCUAGCACAGGUGCGAUAUCGUCAUCCUGACCUAGAGUCCUCUCUCUCUCUAGAGCAGAGACUGGUGAUCUUCUGUGUGCCAAGGAAGAAAAUGAUGAUGGGAAGAUAAUGUUUAUCCUAAGGAGUUUUUAAAUUUAGUUUUCUUUUAUUAAAGAAAAAUUCUUGAACAGAGGGAAAAUGAACAUGAUUUUUGAUGUCUUAUUCCUUGAGCUUCUUAGUUAUAAUUUUGCUUAAAGCUGAGGAUCCUGGUGAGUGAACUUUCAGAGAACACAGCGUAAGUCUAUGGUUCCCAAACACGGCGAUCAUCAGAAUUAGCUUUGAAACUUUAAAAAAAUAUAGGUAUCAGGUCCUAGACGCUGAGAUUCAUAGGUUUGGAACAUAUGUUAUAUUUAGAAACUUCUACAGGUGGUUCAGAUAUGCAGGAAACUUUAAGAAUUGCUGAUCUAGAAGCCAAAUAAAUUGAAUAUCCUGUGAUUUAGAGAGACUUAUCAUUUACUUUAUUGUUCAAGUACAUGGACUGAGCGUGGUUAGAGGGAGUCUGCAGCCUGUAAAUAAUCAGAAAUUCAGAGACUUUGAGAUGGGAGGCCUGCUGAAGAUAUUCCUCUGACUUGAGAAGUAUUUCCUAAUCAGGAACUUGCAUGUGAGAGCAAAGGCCCAGGGCAGCAUGCCAGGUCCCCCACUCACUAGGUCUGUGACCUCGUACAGGUUACUUCAGAUCUCUCUGCCUCUGCUUCUUACCAGGGUAGUGGUAGGGAUUAAAUGUGUUACUACAAGUAACGUGCUUAGAAUAGGGCUUGGCAUAGUAAAUACUGAGUGAAUUUCAGCCACUGUUGUUCUUGUUGGCACUUUCUGGUACCAAGAGAACACCUUUUAUGACUUAUUAUCAAGACAAUUAUAAACUUUAUCAGCAUGCUUCAUGCCUAAAUUUGCUUCGCUUUGUGCUAAAGUUGACAAGACCAAAACUCCCUUAUGUUGUAAUCCUUGGAGUCUGAUUUGUUUCUUCUUGAUUUUCUCCUCCUUUCAUCCAUCUAAAUCCUACUCACUCUUUAAGACCCAGCUCAAAUUCUACUUCAUCUAGAAAGACUCCUGCCCAGAAUAAACCCACCCUGUGUGAAUUCCUAAGUCAUCUAUGGUCUGCAUCUCACAACUUAGUAGUUAGUUAUAUAAGCAAUUGUGCAACCUUUAAAUCAUUAUUGGGUGCCUUCUCUUGUCAGCUUCUGUACUAGGAGCUGUGGGUAUGAUGUUCUAGUCUAGAAGAAUAUUCUAGAAUAUCCUACUCAGAAUAGUCUUUUGACUUUAAAGAAACGUUUCCUAGGGGCCAGCCCUGUGGCCUAGUGGUUAAGUUCAGCACGCUCUGCUUUGGCGUCCCAGGUUCGGUUCCUCGGCGUGGACUUACACCACUCGUCCACAGCCAUGCUGUGGCAGCGACCCACAUACAAGAUAGAGGAAGAUUGGCACAGAUGUUAGCCCAGGGCAAAUCUUCCUCAAUCAGAAAGAGGAAGAUUGGCGGCCAAUGUUAGCUCAGGGCGAAUCUUCCUCAGCAAAAAAAGAAAAGAAAAGAAAUGUUUCCUAAAUAGAAACUUCACGAGGCAGCCCAGGCCUGGUACCUGCAUUUCUGGGCCUGAUAAUCAAGUUUAAUUCCAGGCCCACCGCUUACUAGAUCUGUGAUCUUGGACAGGUUACUUAAAUUCUCUGUGACUAGAAUAAUGUUAAGGGAAAUCCUUUUCCCCCAUCCUGUGUUUCCACAAGGGGGCUAGCUUCCUAAAAGGGAACACUAUCAGAGGAGCAUUCUGGGCCCUUCUCUUUUCCCUAUUACUGGGUCUUUUCCGUAAGAUGAGAAGUGAUUAAUCUGAUUGCUGGGACCCACUAGAUCUGUCAUCUACUGGAGUAUACAGCAUGUAAACCAAAGCAACAGACCACCGUGCUGAAAUUGAGCCCACUUCUCUCUUGCUCUCUGGACCACCACACCCAAAUUUGUGGGUUCUCGGCAUUCUAGCCAUUAUACAGUAAACAAUAAAUGCAGGGCUGGCAUCUUGCAGGCCCUGCCAAGACCUCUGCCCUCUCGGUUCCCAUUUUUCUGCCUCCAAUUGUAUAGGUCCCAGGGCCUUGGUUCGAGGUAGUAGGAAAUGGGCCCCACCAUGUUUCCAACACAGCUUUGCUGACGUGAGGCUGACUCUGCAUUAUGAUUCCCGGUUGGCAACUUGUUUCUAUUCUGUUCUCAAUUCAGAAUCCGAAGGAGAGGAGGGCUGGUUACCCCAAAUAUGAACUAGUAGAAAGUUGAAUAAAUGGUAAUUUUUUCAAAGUUGAAUGAGAUAUGGUCCUUGUCCCAAGCUGUCUUAUAAGUUAGCUUUUCUUCACCCAUGUAUUUUAGUCCUAUUUCUACAAUUAAAAUUGUAAACCAUUUGAAAGCAAAAAUUAUAUCUCCUACAUUUUCUCAGUCCCCAUAGCACAUAGCCAACUGAUGGGCAUAUACAUAGUAGGUGGCACCAUAGCUAUUUGCUAAAUAAUUCAACAUGUCCUUCCCUCAUGGAAAAGAUAACAUUUCAGUGUUGUUAUUAUCAGCUAGGAAAGCAUUCCAGAUGGGAAAUACAUUCUAGAUAAGUAUCCAUAAAUGAGUCUUUUGGUUUCCAGCUUGUAUGCCCUGGAAGUUCAUCAACAUUGAACUCUUCAUGGGUACUUCAUCUUGCUUUAUGGGUUAUAGGUGCUAAGAGGUUAGCUGAUCAGACAAUAUUAGCUUUUGCUCUACAAAAUAUGAUCUAUAUUGAACAAAAACCUGGGCCAACAGCCCCCUCUUCUCUGUCACCAUCCCCCCCUUUUCAUCCCCUCCUUUGGGACUGCCCUUGUUCAUAUGUCAAUUACAGCAUGUACUCUAUUGAACUAUAAUUGUCAGUUUAUGUGUCUAACCUGUUCCCCAUCCCCCCUCUGAUAGUGAAGUCCCAAAGGCCAUUCAUUUGGGUGUCCCCGGAGUCUGUGCUCAGAGAAUGUCUGUUAAAUGAACAAAACUACAAAAGUAAAUUUUGGGAGAAAGUUAAGUCACAGUCAUCCUGAGCUGUAAGUGUGACAAGUUGACAUCCCAAUGAAAGGCUUUAAGAGAUAACCCAAGCACAGAAGGAUGGGCGACCUUUGUGUCUCUGAAAGGAGAAGAGGCAGAAAUGAGCUUUAAAAACAUUUGUAGGUUUUUUUCCUUGUGGAGUAAACAUGGUCUACAGCUGAGUUUUCUUCACGUGAGGGAAUGACAGAAACACAGCUGGUUGUGGCCUUCAGCUUCAGCCAGCUGACCAGGGCGCUGCUGAUGAAACCUGAGCUUGUGGCCCUGAGCCUGGGGGGCUCCUGCAGGCGUCGGCUCCUCGUCCCUGUGUGCCUGGACACGUUUUGUUAUGCACUGUUUUUGAUCUUCUGAACCUCUAACUAAAUGAUUAACCCUAUAAAGUUGACCCUAUGGGGCAACGCUGAAACACUUCCCUUGAAAGCUCUUGAUGGUUAGCUGGGAGGGCACCACCUCCGCGGGUGUCUGAUUUUCUUGUUAUAUUUGAAAAUCAGUGACAAUUUAAACUCAGGAUUCAGUCACCUGAAGAAUCUGUUAAGAGUUACCAGGUUAAUUAUUCCUUAUUUACGUGGACCAGCCUUGAAAAUGGUUUUCCUGAAGCGAAAUACCUCUAAACUUGGUAAGUUCUUCAUACCCAGUGUUGAAUAAAUAAGUGAAUAAUUAACUAAAAUAUAAUGCAUUCUUAUGCUUAAUUGGAGGUAGUUUAAGCCUCUUAUGCAAGAGGAGACUCUGACUUGAAAUAAUGUA